UUGAUCCUAGCUCAGGAUGAACGCUGGCGGCGUGGAUAAGGCAUGCAAGUCGAACGGACUUUAUUUUUCCCGAGAUGCGAUUAUAUCAAGUCAAAGGUCGUUUAAAGUUAGUGGCGAACGAGGUAGUAAUACAUAGGAACUUCCCCCUAAGUCGUGAACAACUCACCGAAAGGUGAGCUAAUACACGAUAGUCUCUCCGGAGUAAAGUUUUUCGCUUAGGGAAAGGCCUGUGAAGUAUCAGCUAGUUGGCGGUGUAAAGGACCACCAAGGCUAUGACGCUUAGGGGAGCUGAGAGGCUGACCCCCACCGAUGGGACUGAGACACGGCCCAUACACCUACGGGUGGCUGCAGUCGAGAAUCUUCCGCAAUGGACGAAAGUCUGACGGAGCGACGCCGCGUGAUUGAUGAAGCUUUUCGGAGUGUAAAGAUCUUUUAUGAGGGAAGAAGUUUAUUGACGGUACCUCAUGAAUAAGGGGCUCCUAAUCUCGUGCCAGCAGGAGCGGUAAUACGAGAGCCCCGAGCGUUAUCCGGAAUUAUUGGGCGUAAAGGGUGCGUAGGUGGUAGUGUUAGUCGUUUGUUAAAUCCUCGGGCUUAACCCGAGAAUCGCGAACGAAACGGCACAACUAGAGAGUGUGAGGGGUAUAGGGAACUCAUGGUGUAGGGGUGAAAUCCGUUGAUAUCAUGGGGAACACCAAAAGCGAAGGCACUAUACUGGCACAUGUCUGACACUCAAGCACGAAAGCGUGGGUAGCGAAUGGGAUUAGAUACCCCAGUAGUCCACGCCCUAAACGAUGAUCUCUAGUCUUUCGGAGUAUCGACCCUCUGAGAGACGUAGCUAACGCGUUAAGAGAUCCGCCUGGGAAGUACGGCCGCAAGGCUAAAACUCAAAGGAAUAGACGGGGACUUGCACAAGUAGUGGAUUAUGUGGUUUAAUUCGACGAUAAACGAAGAACCUUACCAAGGUUAGAAAUCAACGUGAAAGCUCUAAGAAACUAGAGCCCUCGCAAGACUAGUUGACAGGUGAUGCAUGGCCGUCGUCAGUUCGUGGUUUGAAUUGUUCCCUUAAGUGGGGUAACGAACGCAACCCUCGUCGUGUGUUAUAAGUGUCACACGAGACUGCCCCGACCCGAGAACGUAAUUACGAAUUAGUAAUUACGAAUUACGAAUGUAAAUGCAGAAAUGUAUUUUAAUUCGUAGUUUGUAAUUCGUAAUUUUUAAUUGUUUUUUCAGGUCGGGGAGGAAGGAGAGGAUGACGCCAGGUCAGCAUGUCCCUUGAUACCUUGGGCUACACACAUAAUACAAUCGCAAUUACAACGGGCAGCGACGGGGUAACCCUGAGCGAAUCCUAAGAAAAAUUGCGCCAGUUCGGAUUGGGGGCUGCAACUCGACCCCAUGAAGUUGGAAUUACUAGUAAUCGCGGGUCAGAUAUACCGCGGUGAAUACGUUCUCAAGUCUUGUACUCACCGCCCGUCAAUUCAAGGGAGCCGGGAGUGCUCGAAAUCUCUCCAUACGGAGGGCCUACAGUAAGCUCGGUGACAGGGAAUAAGUCGUAACAAGGCACGGGUAGCGGAAGCUGUUCGUG
rnacentral:rRNA from 1 species